GAUGAAGAACGUAGCGAAAUGCGAUACGUAGUGUGAAUUGCAGAAUCCGUGAGUCAUCGAAUCUUUGAACGCACAUUGCGCCCCUUGGUAUUCCGAGGGGCAUGCCUGUUCGAGCGUCAUUAUAACCCCUCAAGCUCAGCUUGGUGUUGGGGCCUGCUGCACUGGCAGCCCUUAAAAUCAGUGGCGGCGCCAUCUGGCUCUAAGCGUAGUAAUUCUUCUCGCUAUGGAGUCCUGGUGGAUGCUUGCCAUCAACCCCCAAUUUUUCUAUGGUUGACCUCGGAUCAGGUAGGGAUACCCGCUGAACUUAAGCAUAUCAAUAAGCGGAGGA
rnacentral:misc_RNA from 1 species